CCUACGGGAGGCAGCAGUGGGGAAUCUUGCGCAAUGGGCGAAAGCCUGACGCAGCCAUGCCGCGUGAAUGAUGAAGGUCUUAGGAUUGUAAAAUUCUUUCACCGGGGACGAUAAUGACGGUACCCGGAGAAGAAGCCCCGGCUAACUUCGUGCCAGCAGCCGCGGUAAUACGAAGGGGGCUAGCGUUGCUCGGAAUUACUGGGCGUAAAGGGAGCGUAGGCGGAUAGUUUAGUCAGAGGUGAAAGCCCAGGGCUCAACCUUGGAAUUGCCUUUGAUACUGGCUAUCUUGAGUACGGAAGAGGUAUGUGGAACUCCGAGUGUAGAGGUGAAAUUCGUAGAUAUUCGGAAGAACACCAGUGGCGAAGGCGACAUACUGGUCCGUUACUGACGCUGAGGCUCGAAAGCGUGGGGAGCAAACAGGAUUAGAUACCCUGGUAGUCCACGCUGUAAACGAUGAGUGCUAGUUGUCGGCAUGCAUGCAUGUCGGUGACGCAGCUACGACAUAAGUACACUCCGCCGUCGGGAGGUACGGUCGCGAGAAGUUAAAACCGUUAAAGUAAGUUAGUUAGUACGUUGUUAGAGNGCGACGACGACGACGACGGAGGAGGAG
rnacentral:rRNA from 1 species